AUUGAACGCUGGCGGCAUGCCUUACACAUGCAAGUCGAACGGCAGCACGGGAGCAAUCCUGGUGGCGAGUGGCGAACGGGUGAGUAAUAUAUCGGAACGUGCCCAGUCGUGGGGAUAACGUAGCGAAAGCUACGCUAAUACCGCAUACGAUCUACGGAUGAAAGCGGGGGAUCGCAAGACCUCGCGCGAUUGGAGCGGCCGAUAUCAGAUUAGGUAGUUGGUGNGGUAAAGGCUCACCAAGCCGACGAUCUGUAGCUGGUCUGAGAGGACGACCGGCCACACUGGGACUGAGACACGGCCCAGACUCCUACGGGAGGCAGCAGUGGGGAAUUUUGGACAAUGGGCGCAAGCCUGAUCCAGCAAUGCCGCGUGCAGGAUGAAGGCCUUC
rnacentral:rRNA from 1 species